GACGAACGCUGGCGGCGUGCUUAACACACGCAAGUCGAACGGAAAGGCCCUGCUUUUGUGGGGUGCUCGAGUGGCGAACGGGUGAGUAACACGUGAGUAACCUGCCCUUGACUUUGGGAUAACUUCAGGAAACUGGGGCUAAUACCGGAUAGGAGCUCCUGCUGCAUGGUGGGGGUUGGAAAGUUUCGGCGGUUGGGGAUGGACUCGCGGCUUAUCAGCUUGUUGGUGGGGUAGUGGCUUACCAAGGCUUUGACGGGUAGCCGGCCUGAGAGGGUGACCGGCGACAGUGGGACUGAGAUACGGCCCAGACGCCUACGGGAGGCAGCAGUGGGGAAUAGUGCACAAUGGGCGGAAGCCUGAUGCAGCAACGCCGCGUGCGGGAUGACGGCCGUCGGGUUGUAAACCGCUUUCGCCUGUGACGAAGCGUGAGUGACGGUAAUGGGUAAAGAAGCACCGGCUAACUACGUG
rnacentral:rRNA from 1 species